UUGAAUGAGCAUGUAUAGUCCAGAAAAAGAAACUUGAAAAAUAAUGUAGAAAACCAUGACAGGUCAGAGUUCAUAGUAGAUUGUAACAAUUAACUUUUGAAGACUUCCUUUAAAAUUGAAAUAGUAAGUUUUCAGAACUAUGGGUGCAGAGCAUUUAGGUACAAUCUACAUAAAACAAUCAUUUAUAGCCAUACAAUAACAUGAUUUUGAUGAUUUCCCUUUUCUGUUCCUAAAGCCCCUGAGGCAAUGAGAGAUGAUGAAUAGAACACUCGGAUAGAGCACUGGGUGGUCAUUCUGGCCUUAUCACUAAUCACCCUAAUAGCAGUGAGAGUGGGUAAGCAUCUCACUGGAAUUCCUUUUCUUAUUUGCAAAGUGGUGGGGUUGGCCUAGUUGUUACUGCCUCUUUCUGAUUUAAAAUAAUAUAAUAAUUUGGGGGCUAUGUAUGUAAAGGGAUGAUCUGUCAUGCAACUGGAGUGUUACAGUAUUACAGUGAGUGUCUAGGGACCAUGUAGAAACCUCCAGGGCACCUUUUGUGUAUUUAUGCUAGGUCUCCAUCCACAAUUCUAGACUGAUAAAGCAGUGAGAAAUAGUAUGUGAAUGUUUGUACAUAUGGCUGGCUAAUAGGUUGUAACGGCCUGUAUAACAAUCACUUAGACCGGAACCUUCUUCGAUACAGAAUACCCGCGUUUGGAGGGAAAAAAGUUUAAUAAACUUCAGGUUCAUGACAAUUAACUGAGCUCCUGAGCUAACCUCUCGUUCCUCUCCAAAAUCCCAGAGAAAGGACAGAAGUAAUAAAGAAGGAUUCAGCCCCAAACAGCUCUGGUAAGCCUGGAAAAGAGCUAUUGUUUGACAUGAGGGCUUCAGAGGGUGUUGAGAAUAUGAGCUCUGGACACAACUGCUGCAUUAUUGCUAAGCUGCCUGUGCUCUUUGAAUCUUCCAGCUUUGGGGUACGUUACUUAACCUCUCUAUGCCUUAGUUUCCAUGCCUGGAAAAUGGAGAUAACAGAAACCACCUCAAAGCAUUGCUGUGAGGAUUAAUACCAGAGCUUUGAAUGGUGCCUGACACAAGUUUUCAUCUCUCAUCAGUAAUUAUUAUUAUAGGUGAUAUUACAGGUGCAAUUAUAGAAUUAAUAUUGAAUAUUACAGCAGAUAGGGUCAGGCAUGGAUGAUAACACAUAGCAGGGAUUUUAAAAAUGUAGAAUUCUAUUUAGGUGAAAGAUAAUAGCUCUGAUGACCCCCUGAUAAAGAAACCUAAGCUCUUGGGCAAUAGAGGAAAAGGCAGACAGCCAAUAGGAUAAUUAAUUACAGCACCAUGGAGUAACUAAAUCAGCCAUUUAUUCUCCAGGUGCCUGGUAUAGCGUUUGCCCCCAGGCUAAAACUAUGAAUUCUGCUUUCUAAAUUAACUGUGAUAUCUGCUGCAAGAUCCUGCCAGGGUGAUCGCUGGAACCAGAGAAGAAACUGAGACAGUGUGCCUGCUAGCUUCCAUCUGUUGCAGGAAAAAUGAAAAUGUAAUUUGUUGUCUAAAACGGGACACUUUCAAGUGAAAGAAAGCAUACUAAUAAUUGUGCCCGGACACAGGAGGUAACCUCUGACCAUCGCAGGCAAAUCAGUACAUGAGUUCCCCUGGUCAUACAACAGAGAGCACCCUACAGAAGCUGCUUGGCCAUAGUCUCCUGCCCUACCUGGAAACUACAGCAGCUGCCAAGAAAUGAGCUGAAACCCUUCAGUAGGAAUGAUGAUUUCACUUACUGCCAUGCUGGAAGAGUGGGCACAUUCAUGUAAAAGAAUAGAAUUCUUCACAAGAUGAAAUCCAUUCCAAGAGAUACUUAUGGCAAAGACCACGAGAACAUUGUAUUUGGAAGACAAGGACUACGCUUCCAAUUAGAAGCACAUCUUUCACAUUUGAGAGAAAUCCAAAGCCCCCUGGAACAUACUGUGACAAUCCAGUGCACUUAGCAACUGAAAGAGCGUGGGCUGUGUGUGGAGCCUGGUGACAUCGAGAAAUCAAUUUGCAAAAAGGCGGCUUGAAAUUUGCAGGGUUUUUUUUUUUAAUCAAGGUGUUGUGAAGAGGUGUUGAAGCCACGAAGCAAUUAGAAGUGACAUGCGUGUCAUUGCUUGUAUAAUAUUCUGUGGUUUAAGUUUUCCUACAUAUGUUUUCUGCUCCAUUUUUCCUUCUAUUCUAAGAGAAUAACAUCAUGCCUUAUGGACAUGUGUAUAAGAGAAACACCUUCUGUCUGCAGUGUUUGUUUCUGGUGAUCAUAUCUCUCUUGACAGUUCUUCCUUCUUGCAGGAUUGUAUUCACUACAAAGGGAAGAACAUCAUAGAGUCCUCAGAGAUUUAGGGAGAAAAGACACAUUCUCUUCUGAGAUUAUAGUACAAAAUAUAUGCCUUCCCUAAUCAAGGAUUUUUUGUUCAGAGCACGUUCUCCUCUCAGAGGCGAAUUUCUUAUGAGGGCACCCAGAAACAAACACAGGAAAACAACCGGGCCUCUGGAAACGAUUGGAAUCAGGACUAGAAAACUCUUAUUAACAUAGACUAUCCUCUUUCUAGCUUCUGAUUUUGCUUCUCUGAGGUAUAGUACUUUUCUCUCCAAACCAGUUGUUUCUGCUUCUCUGAGCUCCUGGCAGAAACUAAUCACCUUUAUGUUCAGUUUCUCUAUACCUAGCAGAAUCUCAGUUUCAGAUUACUCAGGAGAAAGAAUCUGAUAGGCCCAGCAAAGGCAAGUAAUAGGACAAUCUCUGGUCAAAUUACUAUGUGACUGGUAGAAGCUACACCUUCUGGAAAGAGACUGCUGGGUGGGUGAGUGGGGAGUUGUUUUUGGAGUAAAGGAGGUUUGCAUUCAUUGGUUAUCCACCUGAAAGUUGUAGAGCAAGCUUCUUAAGCCAUAUCUUAGAGCUCUUCUCUGGACUAUUAGCAUCACUAGAAUUCUUUUAGGCCUUCAGGCUUGAAAACAGAUUCAUUUUCAAUUUUCAUUUUCCUUCACCUUCCAUAUUUGUUGUCCAUUUUUUGUGUUCAUUUCUUCAUUCACUCAGCAGUUAUUUGUGGAGUGACAGCUAAGUGUCAGAUAUUUUUUCUAAGCAUUUCGGAUACAAUAACUAACACACAUAAGUAAUCCUUGGUCUCGUGACAUCUUAUCAAUUCUUUGCUUUUUCUCAUUUUAUAUGCAGAGGUUUGAAAAACAGUGCAUGUGUUGUGAGGAACUGAGAACAACAACAACAACAAAAUAAAAUGAGUACUUUUGUUGAAAAGGGACCUGGUGAUUUUAGUAUUAUACCCAUGAUACUGUGGAAAGUGUUUGUGAUUGAGGUGAAUAUUGAACAUUUGCUAUGGUGGAUAAUCAGAAAUGUUAAAUUUCUCUAUGAUUUUACAGAGCUUCCAAAACAAACCUUUUGAAAAAUGCACUUGUCACCUUAAUAAUUGCUUUUAUAUAUUUACUCAAAAGAUCAAUGGCUUUUUGAGUAAAAGCUAUUGGAGAUGCAACUUCUCAUUCCAGUUGUUUUCACUCAAAUAUUUUGUUAUGAAAUAUAAAACAAAUGAUGCAAAACAAAUAAUUAAAAUUAACAUUAUUGAAUACUUGCUUUGGUUUAGCCACUGGGUAAGCACUUUGCAUGUAUCUAUUCAUUUAAUCCUUCCAACAAAAUAUAUAUACUAAGUUUAAAUUUAUGCCCAUGUAUCAGCAAAAUCUAAUCAGUUAUUUAAAUUUCAUCAAUUCCUAAUCUUAUAUUUUUUCUUUCUUUUCUUCUGCUUGCUUUGCGGUUUUUUCCCCCUCUCUCUUCUUUUUCUGGAAUUUAUUUUAGUUGUUGUUUCAUUGUUUUCGCUAUUUUGAAUUGGGAAUUUGGACUAUUAAUUUGAAACUUUUUCUCUUUUAAAAGAAAGCAUUUAGUGCUACAAUCCUAACUUGUUAGCACUGCUUUUCCCUAGUCCUGUAAGUUUUUUGGUGUGUUAUAUUUUCACUUUCAUUUAGUUAAGUGUAUAUUUUGAUUUUAUUUGAGAUUUUCUUCUUGACAAAUGGGUCAUUCAGCAUUAUGUUGUUUAGUUUCCAGUGUUUGGAGAUUUUUUCCUGUUAUUUUUCUGCUGUUUAUAUCUAGUUUGAGUUCAUUGUGGUAGGAGAACACACUGUGUAACUCUAAUUGUUUUACUUUUUUUUUUUGAGACAGGCUUUCAUUAUGUAGUUCA